UUUUUUAAUGUUUUAAAGGGAUUGUUUGGAAUUGCAACAUUUGAAGGAUUACAUUACAAAGGGUUACUCCUACCUUAACUUUAGUAAAACUCAUGUUUCUGCUCUAAUUUCAAUAUUCAAAACUAAAUUAGUUAGUCUGGUCCCUAUAUGGUUCCUGGUGCCUAAAAGGAAUCGAUAUAUUUUCUUCAAUUUCAUGCGUGUGUGUUUGUAUGAUUGAACCCAGGAAACGAUAUAAACACACACUACCAGAUGCAUCAAGAAAAAGACUGUCUCUCUCUCUGUGUGUGCAAUGUAUGUGUAUAUGAAGCGCAGCUGUGAUUAUUUUGUUUUCCUCUCUGUUUGAAAAACCACACUUGCUAAUGGGUGAAGCUUUUUCAUCACCUUCUUUUUUGCCCUUCUUCUCUAUCUUUACUUCUUUUCCUCGCUCCUCCUGUUUUCCACUGAACACUCUCUCUCUCCCUACUCUCUCUGUCUCAUCCCUGCGCAUCCUGCCUUGCCCAACCUUUCCGUCUCCAUCUCCCUUCCUCCACCUUUGUCCAUCCUCCCACCCCCCCUCCAUUUCUACCUCUGUAUCCCUCCCUCUCCUCUCUGCCACUUGCUCGUAGAUGCCAAAUCACGCCACAUGCUCUUCCUCUCUCUCUCUCUUUCUUUCUCCCUCUCUCUCUCAUGCGUCCUUACUCUUUCUCACCCCCGGCUUCGUUAGCUCUCCCUUCCCCUCGAUCGUUCGUCAGGCUCGGUGCCGUCAGCUGUCAGUUAUUUUUCCACCAUGGAGCAACAACUGGCUGCCCGUUGCACGUGAGAGAAAAACCAGCGAAGAGAGUCAAAGGAGGGAGGAGAACGGGGAGGGAGGAAGGGAGGGAGGAAAAGAAGUGGACACCAGGAGGAAAGGAGAUCUUUUGUUAAGCAUCCCUGCCCUCCUUCUUCUCCGGCAGCAUCAGCACCAGCAUCAGCACCACCGCCGCUUUCUCCUCCAUCACUGCUGGAUCCUCUAUCUCUUGCCAGGAUAUGCCUCCUAUUUCAUCCGUAGGGAGCUCCUUCCGGAACUGGGAGGGGUAGAGCGACCACCACUUUCCAGGUUUUCCAAGCUUUGCCAUGGACAAAGCACAGAGAAGGGGGAAAAAAUGAAAGAAAAAAAAUGUCAAGGAAGAACAGACAGAGGAAAGGGGAGGGAUUUUUUUAAAAAGAGACGCAUAGGGAAAGGAGAGGAAAGACAACACCCUGUGGAAAAGAGAAGAAUUAAAAAGAUGGGUCUGAGUGAGAGACUUGACCAUUACUGAUGGAUGAGGUGAUAUCCGAGACACUGAGGCAGCCUGACCGCUAGGCUCUGGCCUGGGAACCGUUGAUGGGUGACUCACCUGACGCUGAAGCAAGGCGUCUGCUAUUGAUGCCGCUUUCCCACGUUUCUCUGUUACUUUGCAUGUCUGUUUUGCCCGUGGAGCUUGAACAGAGGCUUCUUUGGGAGGUGGUCAUGCUGGUGGUGGUGAUGAUGAUGAUGAUGAUUAUGAGUUGGCAGCGUUGCUGCAGACGCGUUAUUUGGCUUAGCUCCGCCUGUUUACUGAAAGACUCUCUUCGGUGACGGGUAUUCUUGGGUGGAUAAUACGGAUCACGUUGUUAUUGCUUAAGAAUACGCGUAGUCGAGGAGAGUCCCCUUCAUCGACAGCCCUAGCUCCACCCCCAACCACCCCGACCACCCACCCACCCAUCCAGCUACCUCACCUCACCCUGACCUAAGCCUAUCUGCCCGAGAAGGACUGUCAGUGUUGGACGAAGCCACACCUCUGCUUUGAACCCUCCUUAAAAAGCCACGUUGGUUUCUUUUCUUUUCUUUUCU